rnacentral:misc_RNA from 1 species
AAGGUUUUGACUUAGGAGUUUUGUGAGUAUUGGCAGGCGUCACUGUUAGUAGAUUUGGCGAUAUAGAUGUAGGUACAUGUUUAUCUCACCUAAAUUUGGAUCCCAAUACAGUGAUCAAUGGCUUAUUGUAGCAUAGAAGUUGGCAAUUCAGCUUGACGUGUAUGGUGAGAUUUCUACAGUAGUUGGUGUCUAGGGUUGAUCUAUGCUUUGCAAGAUUCUGCAGUUUGUUUGCAAGAUUCUGCAGUUUGUCAUGAAAUCUGUUUCGCAAUUCCUUUAUCAGAAGAAAAUGCACUCAAUGAACCAAGUGGGUUUGGUGUAAUGGUGAACAGUGAACGGGCACCAUAGCUCUUAAACUGUUCAUUCCACGGAUGGAAC